rnacentral:misc_RNA from 1 species
GGAAGUAAAAGUCAUAACAAGGUUUCCGUAGGUGAACCUGCGGAAGGAUCAUUAUUGUAUAACCGAGGUGCGAGGGCUGUCGCUGACCCGAAAGGUCGUGCACGCCCGAGUGCCCUCACACACAUCCAUCUCACCCCUAUGUGCACCACCGCGUGGGUCCCCCUUUGGCUUGUUCGGAGGGGGGCUUACGUUUUCACACAAACUUUGUAUGCAGUGUAGAAUGUAUUUUUUGUUUUUGCGAUCACGCAAUCAAUACAACUUUCAACAACGGAUCUCUUGGCUCUC